UCCAAUAGCCGGCAGCUAGCUCUUUGCAACUCUCACAUGGUCGCCCACUGAAGCUGGGCUGCGCCCAAUCAGUACCUGGAUGGGAGACCACAUGGGAAAGCUAGAUUACUGUUGGAA
rnacentral:rRNA from 1 species